rnacentral:rRNA from 1 species
GUGGCCUAAAUCAGGUAGGAUUACCCGCUGAACUUAAGCAUAUCAAUAAGCGGAGGAAAAGAAACUAACAAGGAUUCCCCUAGUAACGGCGAGUGAAGCGGGAUGAGCUCAAAUUUGUAAUCUGGUGGACUCAGUUCAUCCGAGUUGUAAUCUAUAGAAGUGUUUUCCGCGCUGGACCGUGUCUAAGUCCCUUGGAACAGGGUGUCAGAGAGGGUGAGAAUCCCGUGCUUGAUACGACCACCAGUGCUAUGUGAUACACUUUCAACGAGUCGAGUUGUUUGGGAAUGCAGCUCAAAAUGGGUGGUAAAUUCCAUCUAAAGCUAAAUAUUGGCGAGAGACCGAUAGCGAACAAGUACCGUGAGGGAAAGAUGAAAAGCACUUUGGAAAGAGAGUUAAACAGUACGUGAAAUUGUUAAAAGGGAAACGAUUGAAGUCAGUCGUGCUCUCUGGGACUCAGCCGGUUCUUCCGGUGUACUUCCCAGUGAGCGGGUCAACAUCAGUUUAGAUCGCUGGAUAAAGGUAUUAGGAAGGUGGCUCCCUCGGGAGUGUUAUAGCCUAGUAUCGCAUACAGUGGUUUAGACUGAGGAACGCAGCUCGCCUUUAUGGCCGGGGUUCGCCCACGUCCGAGCUA